rnacentral:lncRNA from 1 species
GAGUGCGGGCCUGGACUGCUGGUGUUGGGCUGUUGGAAGAGUGGGCCUGCUGAUGGUGAGCUGUUGGUGCCCUACCAAAAAAAGUGGCUUGCUGUUUUUAUUUUUAUUUUUUUAUUUUUUCUUUCUUUUUCUCUCAUUUUCCUUUUUCCUUUCUUCUUCUUCUUUUCUUAACUUUCUCUUUUUCUUCCUUUCAAACCCUAGUCGCCGCCAUUGGUGAUCCCUUGCUCUGUUCGGCGGUGUAACGACCGGUGUUUCCCUCUCGUUCUUUUUUAUUCUUUUCUUCCUUCCUCCUUUUCUUCUUUUUCUUUUCUCUUCUUUUUUCCCUUUCUAUCCUUCCAUUUCCUCUUUUUUUCUUUCUCUUCUAUUUCGGUAACCCCCAAGGUUGAAGGUGUUGCCGCCGCGCUCGUCUUCGGCUCCUCUUCGUGCUUGGUGGCCGACGAUUCCAAGGUAAAUGUUUUUCUUUUUAUUGAUUCUUGGCUGCUAAUUUCUUGGAUUUUUUUUCCUGAUUUUUGCUUGGUUGCUUCGUGAUUGGGUUUUAGGUGGUGGUGCGGCGAUUGCAGUGGCGGUGGUUGCGCGACGGUGGCGAUGGCCUUUUGCUUGCUGCUGUUUUGAUUUUUUUGAGUUUUCUCUGCUGUUUUUUUGCUUUUUUUGGUUGCUGAAAUUGAGAACCCCCUAUUUCUCUUCAACUUUUUCUUUUAAAACCUUCCACUUUGUCCUCUUCUUCUUUGUUUUCAGGUGGCAGUAAAGGAGGGGGAGCAAGGCCGAUUGGGGGUAUCGGCGUGGAAGGCGGUGCACCCAAGAACGCAGAUUGGGGGGGUCUUGUCAUGCCCAGAAGGACCAAAAUGUAACGGGUGCAAAGUUUCUGGGGCAAAAAUGUAAUUUCAAGAAAAACAUGGGGCCAAAUUAUAAUUUUUAGAAAUUUAAGGGGUCAAAAUGAAAUUUUGAGAAAGUUAAAG